AGCCAAUCAGAGACGAAUGCUGUUUUAUCGUCAGUCGUUAAUCUUAAGGCUAAUUCACAGUUCGUGUUUUUUCUUCUCAAAGAGAAUUUAUUUGUUGACAGUCGAAAAAAUUAUUUAUUUCAAAAUUAUUAUUUAUUGAACAUGGGUGGACAUGGACAUCAUCCAGUGCCAGAAAUUCCCUGUUAUACCAAAUACAAAUGGGAGACUGUUCCAGAAUUAGUAAAAUUACAAAAAGAUCUAGGAAAAUUAGGAUUAAAGGAUCCAUGGGCAAGGAACCAAGUUUGGCGAUAUCAUCCAGGUUUUGGAACCAAGUUGCAAAGGAUUUUAACUUGUUGUUUUCGUGGUUGGAAAGUGGGAGUUCCAGCUUUUCUCAUAACAAUUGCUGCCGAGAAAGCUUUGGGCAUUGAUUACGGUGGCCAUGGACACCAUUAAAAUUUGUUUAUUAAUUUAUGAAUCGAGAAGUUAGUUGGAUAUUAACAACAAUGGAAGUAGUUGAAAAUGGAAAACAUCAUUUUAUUGAAUAUUAAAAUAUGCGUUUACAGAAACAAAUGGGAUUAAUUAUGAAAAACAAAUAAGAAACAAACAAUUAAUUGCAGAAUAUAGAGGAAUUAAAGUUUUGAUACGUCGUUAAAGUCUUCAAAGCAACUUAGGUAAGAAAAAGAGUAUUUUUUAUUUCAUAUAUUUAUUUACAAUCUAUGUUUAAAUUAAUUAUAAUAUUUUACUAGUAGCAUUGUUAUAUUUUUAUUAUUACAGUUUUAAAUAAUUCUUUCUCCAUUUCAGAAUAAAAUACUGUUGGUAUUAAAAUAAUGAUAAAUAUUUACAAAACGCAAAACGAGACAUACAAUAAAUAUCGUUACAUGUUUGUCAACAAAUGAUUUGUAACAGAUAUACACAAUUUACUUCAAUUAAACAA